CCGGGUGUACAACGUGGUCUUCAACAACGGCCAGUGCCGCCUCACCAAGUCCAUCCUCUGCCUCCAAGGGGACAACAAGUUCCUAAACCUUGAGGAGUGCCAGAAAUUUUGUUGCAAGACCUGCAACAGUGAGCACUGCCUGGCGCCGCCGCGCGAAGGCCAGUGCCUGUCGGCGGAUCUCCGCUACCGGUUCUACUUCGACAACAACACCAACCAGUGCCUGGUGCAUCGCGGCGUCUGUCUCAAAGGUCGGAACCGAUACCGGACGCUCGAGACAUGCGCUGCGCACUUCCCCCUCAAGAGUGAGGACAGGCUUCGAUGCGUCCGAACACCAUGACGCGAAGAGCUUAACGUUUCACUACCUAUAGCGUUUUCACAA
rnacentral:lncRNA from 1 species